rnacentral:tRNA from 1 species
GCGCCCUUAGCUCAGUUGGAUAGAGCAACGGGCCUUCUAAGCCGUAGGUCGUAGGUUCCGAAUCCUACAGGGCGUGCCA